AGGGUUAACGCUGGCGGUGCGCAUAACACAUGCAAGUCGAGCGAGGGCUUAUUUCUCGCAAGAGAGAUAAGUUCCUAGCGGCGAACGGGUGAGUAACACGUGGGCAACCUUUCCUAUCGCGGGGGAUAACAGCGGGAAACCGCUGCUAAUACCGCAUGUCGUCACCGGCUAAUGGCUGGUGAAGAAAGCAGCAAUGCACGAUGGGGUGGGCCCGCGGCCUAUCAGCUAGUCGGUGGGGUAACGGCCUACCGAGGCGAUGACGGGUAGCUGGUCUGAGAGGACGACCAGCCACACGGGGGACUGAGACACGGCCCCGACUCCCACGGGAGGCAGCAGUGAGGAAUCUUCCGCAAUGGGCGAAAGCCUGACGGAGCGACACCGCGUGUGGGAUGAAGUCCUUCGGGAUGUAAACCACUGUCGGAGGGGAAGACAUCGACGGUACCCUCCAAGAAAGCCCCGGCUAACUACGUGCCAGCAGCCGC
rnacentral:rRNA from 1 species